rnacentral:rRNA from 1 species
GACGAACGCUGGCGGCGUGCUUAACACAUGCAAGUCGAACGAAGUGGCGAACGGGUGAGUAACGCGUAAUCAACCUGCCCUUCAGCGGGGGACAACAGUUGGAAACGACUGCUAAUACCGCAUACUUAAGGAGGGGAUUGCGUCUGAUUCGCUAGUUGUAGGGGUAACGGCCCACCAAGGCGAUGAUCAGUAGACGGUCGGAGAGGAUGAACGGCCAAAUGGGGACUGGGAAACGGCCCAGACGCCUACGGGAGGCAGCAGUGGGGAAUCUUCCGCAAUGGACGAAAGUCUGACGGAGCAACGCCGCGUGAGGGAUGACGGCCUUCGGGUUGUAAAGCUCUGUUAAUCGGGACGCGGUACCGGAAUAGAAAGCCACGGCUAACUACGUGCCAGCCGCCGCGGUAAUUC